GCAGUAAAGAAAACUUUGGCUGGGUUGGUUUUGGUGGAUUGUUUUAUAUUUAGAUAGCUACACAAUCUUCGCCAUGGCCAUGUAGAUUGGGAAUAUGAAUGUGAUUAGAUGUUGUAGUAUUUCGGAAUGGGGUAAAAUUAAUUGGGGAAGUGAUCAUGCUUAUGGUUGAGGGAGACCUUUUUAGCACGCUUGGAUGGAUGUCAUAAUGGGGAUCCUCUUUGGUGGUUGUUCUUUAGAUAUCAUGAAAUCAAGCAAAAUUCUUAUUGGUCGGCUUUCUCAUGUUUGAUAUCAAGCAAACUCUUUGUAUGAUAAGUUAGCUACUUAUGGCAUUAAAUGUACUACUCCGGAAACACAUUUGAUGUGUAAUAUAUCCUAUAAGUUGUUCUGACCUAUUCUUCUAUGUUUUCUUCUUAUUCAGAAGUAUGCUUUUCGCUUUUCAAACAAACUCAUUCAUUGUAUACAUGAUUCACGUCACAAAAAGCGCGUUCUUACUAAUUACUUCUUUAUUCAUGCAAUAUCCACUGAUGAGGAAAUCUACAUCAAAAGAUUCAGGCACCAUUCUCAAAAGUUCUACUUUAAUAUCAUUCUCAUUGCCUUCAUUAUCUUGAUUGUUGAUUGCCAGAUUGAGCUUGUAAAAAUGUCGUUGGCGGAGGGACAAAGUCAUCUUUUUGCACAUUGGCCUGAACAAGGUGUUGAUGAUGAAGAAAAGAGAAGUUUCUUUGAUCAGCUGCUGUAUCCUGGAAAAAUUAAAUGGUCUCUGAUUAUUUUCAAGUCCAAGCAACAAAAGUUUAACAUCGGUUUCAACUUUUAACCUUCCAUUUUCCUCACUCAAAUAUUUAUAUUUGUUAUUAUUAUGAUUAUUUUGAAAUUUAUCUUUGGAAGCCUUGCUGACCACAAAUUUCUGGUAGAAGACCAAACUGAUUUUGAUGGGUUUCUGGAAACCUACAUUGCUUUGUACCUAUCAGCUAGAUUGUUAAUGCUCUUCACAUAUCUGUUUGUUAAUGUGAAGUAGCUCUUUUCUCUAGGUAACUCAGCUUAAUUCAAGCUAUCCAGGUGGUUUGACAUCAUAUAUUCGAAAUGCUAGGAAUAUAUUAGCAGAUUCAAAAGCAGGGAAAAAUCUAUUUGAUGGCUUUACUCCUUCGAUAAGUGAAUCCAUUAUUUUUGUUUUGCAAUCUGUGAUUCUUU